CGACUUCCCUUCAUCAAAACUCAACAUUUUUUAGCUCUAUAAAAUGUAACGUCACAAAUAUCUCAACUAAAGAAGUUCAGCUKUUCACCUUCAGCCACCAGUCAACAGAUCAGAAAACAGAUCAUAACACAGAUCAUGACACAGGUUUUCUGCAUGUAUUGUACGUACUGAGAUGUAUUGUUGUGUCUGUGGGUUUGGCGGCUCUCCUUACAUCAGUUAUUACAGUCAACAUGAAGACCAAAAACAAAACGCAGAGGCACAUGGAAGAUAAUGAAGAUAAAGUCAUGGAGGAAAACAGAGAGAAUCAUUCAGCUGCUGCCGUCAAACUCUGAUCAACAGGAAUCAGUUCAACUGAAGGAAACCAACUGUUGUUAGAUUUUAAAUAGAGGAAAACAGUUUCAUUAAAUAACUGCAGGCCUGUGAAGUGGGAUAAGAAUAUGUUUAUGAAUAAAUGAAUCAGUUGUUUUUGUUGUGAAGUGACCCAGCCAGUAGAGGGCGCUGUUGGACAUACAGCUCUCAUCACUCUUCUCAGAUUGAACGUCACAACCUCUGUGUAAGCUAUAUUUCAAGACAAAUUCACCUGUUUCAUAUGUUAAAUUACAUUUAUUUUUAUAUUCAUGAU